CCCCUCUCUAUUCAGUUACAAUAUACCUACUGUAAACAGGGAUUCUGAUUCCAGGUCAAUUUUAUGAACCUCAACUUCUCAUCUAUAAAAUAGUUGUAGUAGAGCUAACACUUGAGGCCAGAGACAGGAAGGAAGUAAUCACCACAUUUAACUUAAAAAGAAAUGGCAUCACUCAAGGCUGAGAAACCUGUUGGCACUCAAGCCCCUAUAGCACAACCGAAGAAAGAGCCUGCAGCUCCAAAAGCGAUAGGUGCCACGCCCAAAGCUCCAGCCUCCAAAGCCGCCCCUAAGAAGACCGAGACGAAGCCUAAGGAGCCUAGGAAGAAGACUACUGGAAGCAAACCAGCUGCAGCCAAGAAUUAAGCAGAACGAGGAUGAAGGGUGCGAGGUGUGGAGCGCAUGAAGAUGCUAAACCAUCGCCAUCCUCCAUAAUGUUUAAUAAAAUCAUAACCAGUACUACACUACUAGCUUGGUUGUGAUCUAUGUCCAUGUUUCUCUUUUUAUCUUGGCCUUUUUAAUAAAAUAUCUAUGUUUUGAAUAGUC